rnacentral:rRNA from 1 species
AGAGUUUGAUCCUGGCUCAGGACGAACGCUGGCGGCGUGCCUAAUACAUGCAAGUCGAACGAAGCUUUCUUUCACCGAAUGCUUGCAUUCACCGAAAGAAGCUUAGUGGCGAACGGGUGAGUAACACGUAGGCAACCUGCCCAAAAGAGGGGGAUAACACUUGGAAACAGGUGCUAAUACCGCAUAACCAUGAACACCGCAUGAUGUUCGUGUAAAAGACGGCUUUUGCUGUCACUUUUGGAUGGGCCUGCGGCGUAUUAACUUGUAGGUGGGGUAACGGCCUACCAAGGUGAUGAUACGUAGCCGAACUGAGAGGUUGAUCGGCCACAUUGGGACUGAGACACGGCCCAAACUCCUACGGGAGGCAGCAGUAGGGAAUCUUCCACAAUGGACGAAAGUCUGAUGGAGCAACGCCGCGUGAAUGAAGAAGGCCUUCGGGUCGUAAAAUUCUGUUGUCAGAGAAGAAUGUGCGUGAGAGUAACUGUUCACGUAUUGACGGUAUCUGACCAGAAAGCCACGGCUAACUACGUGCCAGCAGCCGCGGUAAUACGUAGGUGGCAAGCGUUGUCCGGAUUUAUUGGGCGUAAAGGGAACGCAGGCGGUCUUUUAAGUCUGAUGUGAAAGCCUUCGGCUUAACCGAAGUAGUGCAUUGGAAACUGGAAGACUUGAGUGCAGAAGAGGAGAGUGGAACUCCAUGUGUAGCGGUGAAGUGCGUAGAUAUAUGGAAGAACACCAGUGGCGAAAGCGGCUCUCUGGUCUGUAACUGACGCUGAGGUUCGAAAGCGUGGGUAGCAAACAGGAUUAGAUACCCUGGUAGUCCACGCCGUAAACGAUGAGUGCUAAGUGUUGGAGGGUUUCCGCCCUUCAGUGCUGCAGCUAACGCAUUAAGCACUCCGCCUGGGGAGUACGGUCGCAAGACUGAAACUCAAAGGAAUUGACGGGGGCCCGCACAAGCGGUGGAGCAUGUGGUUUAAUUCGAAGCAACGCGAAGAACCUUACCAGGUCUUGACAUCUUCUGACAAUUCCAGAGAUGGAACGUUCCCUUCGGGGACAGAAUGACAGGUGGUGCAUGGUUGUCGUCAGCUCGUGUCGUGAGAUGUUGGGUUAAGUCCCGCAACGAGCGCAACCCUUAUUGUCAGUUGCCAUCAUUAAGUUGGGCACUCUGGCGAGACUGCCGGUGACAAACCGGAGGAAGGUGGGGAUGACGUCAAAUCAUCAUGCCCCUUAUGACCUGGGCUACACACGUGCUACGAUGGACGGUACAACGAGUCGCUAACUCGCGAGGGCAAGCUAAUCUCUUAAAGCCGUUCUCAGUUCGGAUUGCAGGCUGCAACUCGCCUGCAUGAAGUCGGAAUCGCUAGUAAUCGCGAAUCAGCAUGUCGCGGUGAAUACGUUCCCGGGCCUUGUACACACCGCCCGCCACACCAUGAGAGUUUGUAACACCCAAAGUCGGUGGGGUAACCUUUUGGAGCCAGCCGCCUAAGGUGGGACAGAUGAUUGGGGUGAAGUCGUAACAAGGUA